UUCAAUAUGUGCCUUCUAGGUUAAUGACCUC
rnacentral:piRNA from 1 species